rnacentral:rRNA from 1 species
UGGGGAAUAUUGCGCAAUGGGGGCAACCCUGACGCAGCCAUGCCGCGUGAAUGAAGAAGGCCUUCGGGUUGUAAAGUUCUUUCGGUAGCGAGGAAGGCAUUUAGUUUAAUAGACUAGGUGAUUGACGUUAACUACAGAAGAAGCACCGGCUAACUCCGUGCCAGCAGCCGCGGUAAUACGGAGGGUGCGAGCGUUAAUCGGAAUAACUGGGCGUAAAGGGCACGCAGGCGGUGACUUAAGUGAGGUGUGAAAGCCCCGGGCUUAACCUGGGAAUUGCAUUUCAUACUGGGUCGCUAGAGUACUUUAGGGAGGGGUAGAAUUCCACGUGUAGCGGUGAAAUGCGUAGAGAUGUGGAGGAAUACCGAAGGCGAAGGCAGCCCCUUGGGAAUGUACUGACGCUCAUGUGCGAAAGCGUGGGGAGCAAACAGGAUUAGAUACCCUGGUAGUCCACGCUGUAAACGAUGUCGAUUUGGGGGUUGAGCUUUAAGUUUGGCGCCCGUAGCUAACGUGAUAAAUCGACCGCCUGGGGAGUACGGCCGCAAGGUU